rnacentral:rRNA from 1 species
AGAGUUUGAUUCUGGCUCAGGAUGAACGCUAGCGGCAGGCCUAACACAUGCAAGUCGCGGGGCAGCACGGGUAGCAAUACCUGGUGGCGACCGGCGCACGGGUGCGUAACGCGUAUGCAACCUGCCCCCAUCAGGGGAAUAGCCCGCCGAAAGGCGGAUUAAUGCCCCAUGGGCCCAGGGCGCCGCAUGGCGCUAUGGGUAAAGCUCCGGCGGAUGGGGAUGGGCAUGCGCGCCAUUAGCUAGUUGGGGCGGUAACGGCGCACCAAGGCGACGAUGGCUAGGGGGUCUGAGAGGAUGGUCCCCCACACUGGUACUGAGACACGGACCAGACUCCUACGGGAGGCAGCAGUGAGGAAUAUUGGUCAAUGGGCGGAAGCCUGAACCAGCCAUGCCGCGUGCAGGAUGACGGCCCUACGGGUUGUAAACUGCUUUUCCCCGGGAAGAAUAAGCCCCUCGUGAGGGGUGAUGCCGGUACCGGGGAAUAAGGAUCGGCUAACUCCGUGCCAGCAGCCGC